AGAGUUUGAUCAUGGCUCAGAGUGAACGCUGGCGGCAGGCCUAACACAUGCAAGUCGAACGGCAGCACAGGGGAGCUUGCUCCCCGGGUGGCGAGUGGCGGACGGGUGAGGAAUACAUCGGAAUCUGCCCAGUCGUGGGGGAUAACCUCGGGAAACCGGGACUAAUACCGCAUACGACCUUCGGGUGAAAGCAGGGGAUCGCAAGACCUUGCGCGAUUGGAUGAGCCGAUGUCGGAUUAGCUAGUUGGCGGGGUAAAGGCCCACCAAGGCGACGAUCCGUAGCUGGUCUGAGAGGAUGAUCAGCCACACUGGAACUGAGACACGGUCCAGACUCCUACGGGAGGCAGCAGUGGGGAAUAUUGGACAAUGGGCGCAAGCCUGAUCCAGCCAUGCCGCGUGAGUGAAGAAGGCCUUCGGGUUGUAAAGCUCUUUUGUCCGGAAAGAAAAGCUUUCGGUUAAUACCCGGAAGUCCUGACGGUACCGGAAGAAUAAGCACCGGCUAACUUCGUGCCAGCAGCCGCGGUAAUACGAAGGGUGCAAGCGUUACUCGGAAUUACUGGGCGUAAAGCGUGCGUAGGUGGUUCGUUAAGUCUGAUGUGAAAGCCCUGGGCUCAACCUGGGAAUUGCAUUGGAUACUGGCGGGCUAGAGUGCGGUAGAGGAUGGCGGAAUUCCCGGUGUAGCAGUGAAAUGCGUAGAGAU
rnacentral:rRNA from 1 species